GGGAAGGCUGCAGGAUCUGUGUGUGAGAGACACGCUUUCUGAUGCAAUGCACUCAGUGCCAGCGUGCAGAGGCUGCACCAGCCAUCCCUGGACAAUCAAAACUCCACAGGCGGAGCUAGCACUCUCAGUGACAGCUACAGGAUGGAGCAAACUGGAGGUGGAUCCAGAAGAGGGAUCACAAAGGAGGGUCAGCAACAGAAAUCUUGGAGCCCAGUACAAGGAUGUCUCUGCCAGCCCUCCACCCACCACCACCCUCAACUCUGUAUCCACACAUCCCUCUUCUGUAUGAGUGAUCUGUUCUAAAGUACAUUAUUAUUUUUAUUUAAAGAUAUGCUAGCCUAUUUUUUAUGUUUCAUUUCAUUAGAUUGGAAAUUAAAACAAAAUGUAAAAGCACUGUGUGGCUUACUGUACUUCACACUGUCUCUGAUUAUGCAGGUGUGGGGA